rnacentral:misc_RNA from 1 species
GAUGAAGAACGUAGCGAAAUGCGAUACGUAAUGUGAAUUGCAAAUUCAGUGAAUCAUCGAGUCUUUGAACGCACAUUGCGCCCCCUGGUAUUCCGGGGGGCAUGCCUGUCCGAGCGUCAUUGCUGCCCUCAAGCACGGCUUGUGUGUUGGGCCCCGUCCUCCGAUCCCGGGGGACGGGCCCAAAAGGCAGCGGCGGCACCGCGUCCGGUCCUCGAGCGUAUGGGGCUUUGUCACCCGCUCUGUAGGCCCGGCCGGCGCUUGCCGAUCAACCCAAAUUUUUUAUCCAGGUUGACCUCGGAUCAGGUAGGGAUACCCGCUGAACUUAAGCAUAUCAAUAAGCGGAGGA